GAGUUUGAUCAUGGCUCAGAUUGAACGCUGGCGGCAUGCCUUACUCAUGCAAGUCGAACGGCAGCAUGAUCUAGCUUGCUAGAUUGAUGGCGAGUGGCGAACGGGUGAGUAAUACAUCGGAACGUGCCCUGUAGUGGGGGAUAACUAGUCGAAAGAUUAGCUAAUACCGCAUACGACCUGAGGGUGAAAGUGGGGGACCGCAAGGCCUCAUGCGUAUAGGAGCGGCCGAUGUCUGAUUAGCUAGUUGGUGGGGUAAAGGCCCACCAAGGCGACGAUCAGUAGCUGGUCUGAGAGGACGAUCAGCCACACUGGGACUGAGACACGGCCCAGACUCCUACGGGAGGCAGCAGUGGGGAAUUUUGGACAAUGGGCGAAAGCCUGAUCCAGCAAUGCCGCGUGUGUGAAGAAGGCCUCGG
rnacentral:rRNA from 1 species